AGCACAGUACACACAGUAUAUGCUAGGAGAGGGAAGUACAAAGUGCUACAGAACACAAGACAGAAACACCUGACUUGGCCUUAGGGCAGUCAGGGAAGACUUCCCAGAAGAAGCUUUCCCGGUCCCCGCCUUCCCAGAAGCUGGCUUGGGUGCCACUCCUCCCCGCGCCCAGGCACUGUGCGGCCUCCCUUUGCCAUAGCGCCUAUCACUCUGACAUGCAGUGCUUGGAGCAGGCGUCAAUAAAACGUGGUUUGGGGGCUGCCCCGAUGCCAGAACCCGAGGGUUGGGGAAGGGAUUAGAGACGGAUAACUGGGUGAGGAAAUUCUGGGCCUGGUUUGGACUUGGGAGGAGGACGGGGGCGAACCGCAGGGGGUUCACA